UUCUAUGGUCAACCUCCCCAUUCUUAGGGAAUCUAUUUUUGUAAGCUAGGUCAAUAGCAUCAAUUCAAAUUUGUUUGUUAGCAGCAUCUAUUUCUGGAGAGUCGAAAUUUUGUUUGUGCAAAUUUGGUUUUCAGAGAUGAAUAUACAUGGAUGCCGGACCAUAAUACGACAGAUAUGUUCACUGCAAUUACAAAUAAUGAGUAGAUAUAAACUAAGAAGUACCAAAUACAUAUGCUAUGAUCAAGAAAGGUAAUGGUUAUGCUUUUAAAGCUUGAUUUUUAGCCUGUAUUUUAACCAACCUAUCUAAAGCUACAAAGCUAACAAACAUAUAAUAAUCACAGCAGUAAAUUCUUAUAAUCAGGAUGAGGAUACAGUUUGAUGAACUGAUAAUUUCUGUUUCAAUCACCCCGCUUUAGUAUUUACAGGCUAACCAGAAAGGAAUGGAUAUGCCUACCAAAAACUGUUGUGAAAGGAACGUAUAAUCAAUUGAACUAUGCAUCCAAGAUGAGUGAUAUCUUGCAUCCUUAACGAGGAAAAGCACAUAACAUCAUCCAAGAAAUGAGGAAGAUACAUAAUUGCCCGAGUUUUGAUACAAUGCAGAAUUCAAUAUUUCAUUGCUUCCGGCGUUGAUAAAAACUUUACCGCAAAGGGGUAUACGGUAUGUGGUUGCCAUGAAUAAGGAUAGGUUGCUGUAAGCAAGCGAAUUAAAGAAUUGUCGAAUUUGGUUAAAGUGUUUUGAAACAUAUGGAGUUUUAAUUAGUUUUGACAAAUAAGAGAGAGGGGUUUCACUCAUUUUCUAAUAUUCAAUCAACUUCAUCGAUCAACCUCCUCAAGCAUAUUAUCACACAUUACGGUAAAUAAUGUGCUUAAAUGAUUUCAUUUGAUUCUUACCCAAUAUUUUUGAGUAAUAUCAAAAGAAUAUAUCAUAACUGAAGCCAACAUAUAAUAUAUAUUCAUAACAAUCAUAUGAGAAUUAUCCAAUCCAAAAUGAGGUUCUAUGGUCAACCUCCCCAUUCUUAGGGAAUCUAUUUUUGUAAGCUAGGUCAAUAGCAUCAAUUCAAAUUUGUUUGUUAGCAGCAUCUAUUUCUGGAGAGUCGAAAUUUUGUUUGUGCAAAUUUGGUUUUCAGAGAUGAAUAUACAUGGAUGCCGGACCAUAAUACGACAGAUAUGUUCACUGCAAUUACAAAUAAUGAGUAGAUAUAAACUAAGAAGUACCAAAUACAUAUGCUAUGAUCAAGAAAGGUAAUGGUUAUGCUUUU
rnacentral:lncRNA from 1 species